AAUUUUAUCUUACUUUAUUUUAUUGUUUUUUUUGAGAAAUAUCUUUUAUUUUAGUAUAUUAUAGAACAAUUUUCUUUUUGUUAUAGUGAAUUAGUACUGUUAAGGAAUUGAUGAAAUAUAUAAUUUAUUUAUUAUAAGUAUAUUUUAUUUGUAGUACCUUUUGUAUCAGGGUUAAUCAAAAUUAUAUAAUUUAUUUUUUUAUCUCGAUUUCAAAAGAGCUAAAUUGAUAUUUUAUUUAUUGUAUCAUAAUUAUUAAUAAUACAAUUUAGGAAAGAAAUUUUAUCCGGUUUUGAGGGUAUCUAGUUUUUUAAGAAUUAAAUUUAAUUUAACUCUUUUAUUUAUUUUGUAUAUUUUUAUACAUUCUAUUUAUAAGGUUAAAAAUUAUAGGGGAUAAGCUCUAUAUUUUUUUAUAAAUAUUGUUAAUAUUAUGAUUUUGUAGGGUUAAAAUUAUCCAUCAAUGUAAAAUGUGUUAUAAUUUAUUUUUUUUAUUAAUCAAUUUUAUUUUUUUUAAUAUGUUAUUAAAAUUUUGUAAUAAACUUUAUGUUGCAAUUAAUAAUGAUUAAAUUAGUAUAAUUACCUGUUUAUAGUGCAGUUGUUGUAAUGAUAAAAUAAGGAACUCGGCAAUUAUAAUUCUCGCCUGUUUAACAAAAACAUGUCCUUUUGAGUUUAAUUUAAGGUCUGACCUGCCCGGUGAUUUAUUUAACGGCCGCGGUAUACUGACCGUGCAAAGGUAGCAUAAUCAUUAGUCUUUUAAUAGGAGGCUGGAAUGAAAGGUUUGACGAGGAAUUAACUGUCUCAUUUUAUUUGUUUUAAAAUUUAAUUUUUUAGUUAAAAAGCUUAAAUUUUAUUGGAAGACGAGAAGACCCUAUAGAUCUUUAUAAAAAUUUUUUUAAUUAUUUAUAUAUUAAUGUAAUUAAUUUUAUUUUUAUUUUGUUGGGGUGACAAAAAUAUAUAAACAACUUUUUUAUUUAUUUAACAUUAAUUUAUGGUUAUAUGAUCCGUUUAUUGCGAUUGUUAGAGUAAGUUACCUUAGGGAUAACAGCGUAAUCCUCCUUCAGAGUUCAUAUUUACAGGAUGGGCUUGCGACCUCGAUGUUGGAUUAAGAUAAUAGUUAGGUGUAGCCGCUUAAU
rnacentral:rRNA from 1 species